UGUGGCACUCCUUAUGACACACCUGUGCAG
rnacentral:piRNA from 1 species